rnacentral:rRNA from 1 species
UGACCUCGAUCAGGUAGGAUC